rnacentral:rRNA from 1 species
GUUAAUAAUUAGAGAGAUAAUUUUUCAUUUAUAGGUAAAAUUGUACAUGAGGAGGUUUUUUGGUGCUUCUGUUUUUUUGAUGCCAUGAAAAUUAAGUUGUAGACCGGGAUUAGAUACCCCGUUAUUCUUUUUUAUAAAUUUUGAUUAUGUAUGUAGUUUACCAGAGUAUUACGAGUUGCUUGUUGCAGGUAAAAUGAGCUGUACUUAAAACUUAAAAAACUUGGCGGUGCCUCAAUUCUUUCCAGGGGAACCUGUUCUGUUAUCGAUGAUCCACGUUUAAACUUACUUUACUUUGUAUUUAUACGUUUUGUGUGAACAGCCUGUAUACCGUCGUCGUCAGAUUACCUCUAAGAGUAGAAAAGUUAUCUGGUUAAGUGUAACCUUCGACCGCUGUCGUAGGUCCGUUUAUGAUGUCAGAUCAAGGUGCAGCUAAUAGUAAAGUAGAAAUGGGUUACAAUAAUUAUUCUUUUUGAACUUUAGACUGUAAGGUUUAGAUGAAAUUGGACUGGAAGUAAUAAAAUAGUGAGUAAUAGAGAGAUUGA